UACAGGGGGGGCAAGCGUUGUUCGGAAUUACUGGGCGUAAAGGGCUCGUAGGCGGCCGGCUAAGUCCGACGUGAAAUCCCCAGGCUUAACCUGGGAACUGCGUCGGAUACUGGCGGGCUUGAAUCCGGGAGAGGGAUGCGGAAUUCCAGGUGUAGCGGUGAAAUGCGUAGAUAUCUGGAGGAACACCGGUGGCGAAGGCGGCAUCCUGGAUCGGCAUUGACGCUGAAUAGCGAAAGCCAGGGGAGCAAACGGG
rnacentral:rRNA from 1 species